CAGCAGCCGCGGUAAUACGUAGGGUGCGAGCGUUGUCCGGAAUUACUGGGCGUAAAGAGCUCGUAGGUGGUUUGUCGCGUUGUUCGUGAAAUCUCACGGCUUAACUGUGAGCGUGCGGGCGAUACGGGCAGACUGGAGUACUGCAGGGGAGACUGGAAUUCCUGGUGUAGCGGUGGAAUGCGCAGAUAUCAGGAGGAACACCGGUGGCGAAGGCGGGUCUCUGGGCAGUAACUGACGCUGAGGAGCGAAAGCGUGGGGAGCGAACAGGAUUAGAUACCCUGGUAGUCCACGCCGUAAACGG
rnacentral:rRNA from 1 species